UCAAAAUUAUCAGAAUGUUUACAGAACAAGAAUUUACUACCAUAUACACUUGCCUACAAAUUAAGGUAGAGACGGAUAGCAACCACGUGAUCAGUAAAAAUCGUGUAUAUUCACGUGAAUUUAUUUUCCGGAAUUCCGUACACCGUCAUAGAGUAGUUGAAAAAUAUAAAGGGGUUCCGAAAGUACAAGUUGUUGCUGUGACUGACUCGAUGAUUGAGGGGGUCGUCUCGACGAAAGAUAGACCAUAGUUUAGAUUAGGAAUACGUCAAUGUAAUAAUAGUGGACCAAAUGUUUCGUCCGUGCAGAAUGGCACUUUUUACCUCACGACCAUGCAUAGCUGCGCUACGUAAACAAUUUUACAAAGUUGUUGAUGUAGCGUGAUCGUGAUGUCCGACUCCGAGUGCUGCGAGUUUCAAUACUGUUUAUGUAGUCAUUGAGAGUUUAAACAAACUUUCUUCUGAGAAGAGGGAUUCAAUGGAUGCAUUCAACGUGGACAACGAAGUUAUAAUUUCGUUUGUUAAGUGAAAAAAUAUGGCAAAUUAAAUUUGUAUUCAACCCACUUUUCCUCUGCUAUUUCACAACGCGAUUUUAUAAUAACAUCUAUAAACACACAACUUGGAGAUGUUUCAUUUUCUUUGCAUUUAUGUAUUCCAUAUGUGCCCAAAAUAUAAUUCCUAUAUGCUCAUGUAAUCGUAAAUGAAUGUCAUGUAUAUGCCACAUUUAAAAAAAUAGGUCUCUCCCAAGUUUUUUUUUUUGGGGGGGGGUUGCACUAAAUUUCUAUUUGGUAUACAUGAUAGUACUUAUAAUAUCUUGAAAUUUCAUUGACCUAAGAGAUAUUUCAAAUCUGGGGUUUCAUGUUUCACACAAGCAUGCAAGUCUACAAUUUAAAAUAUUAAUAUUUUGUAAAAUCACAAGCCCUCUCAUAGGCAAAUGUAUGUAUUGUAUGAACAUAAGAUAUGUAUGUCCUUCUCUUGACCCACACUUGGUAAAGGAGACAUGUCUGAUAAAUCUAGAGUUGACUUGUUUUGAUAUUAUUAGAAUGAACUGGCAGUUUAUCGUAUGAAAACAUAUCUGUCAUCUCAUAUUGCAAUAUGAUAAUCAUGAUGUUUAUUCACCUCAUUAAGGGGGGGGGGGGGGGGGUGUAUGGGGUAUGUACAGUUUAAAUAGAAGUUAGCUAUAACAAUAUAAAGUAAAUAACAAUCAUUCAGAUGUACUACUACUGCAAGAGUUCACAUUGCUGCACUGCACACAUUUAACAUAGUGUUACAUAUGUAAUACUGAUUUCAGACAAGAUUUUAAAAAUUAACAUAAUAAAUGUAAUUUUCAAUAUAUCAGUAUUUUAAAGUUCACUGAAGAUGCAUUGAGACCCACAAUUUUAAAAUUGACAUUGUCUGACACAGUAUAAUUAAUGAUUAAUACUGACUGUGCAAAUAUUAAUUUGAUGAUUUUUUCCCUAAGUGUCAUCCUAAGGACCAGUGCAAGUUGAAAUGGGCUUCGAGUCAACAACUUCAACAGCAAUUUGCCUUGAAAAUCAGCAAGAAAGGUACUUCAUUUACAUUGAUGAUGUCAUAUCCCCUGGACCCCACAACUUUACAAGUUACAGAGAAAAUUCAAGAACUUCUGCACAAUGUGGGACUUGGAUAGAAUCAAUAAUGUAUUUGUGAGCCCAGAUAUAUUGUGCAACAUACUAAAGUGUGAAUUUAAUUGAAAACAAGUACAUGUACUCAUGUAUACUAUUAUAUGUCUUUCUUAAAGACAAUAAUAUUGCAUAAAUGUAGAUGAAGUGUCAUUGUUGAUUAUUCUAAGUUUUUGAUAUAUCAAAAUCAGUAAACAUUUCUAAAUGAAAAUAAAAUACCAAUUUUAUAACUUUUAA